GUUCCAGACUCCUACGGGAGGCAGCAGUGGGGGAUAUUGGACAAUGGGGGGAACCCUGAUCCAGCGACGCCGCGUGAGUGAAGAAGUAUCUCGGUAUGUAAAGCUCUAUCAGCAGGGAAGAAAAUGACGGUACCUGACUAAGAAGCCCCAGCUAACUACGUGCCAGCAGCCGCGGUAAUACGUAGGGGGCAAGCGUUAUCCGGAUUUACUGGGUGUAAAGGGAGCGUAGACGGCGGAACAAGUCAGAAGUGAAAACCCGGGGCUCAACCCUGGGAGUGCUUUUGAAACUGUUUGGCUGGAGUGCAGGAGAGGUAAGCGGAAUUCCUAGUGUAGCGGUGAAAUGCGUAGAUAUUAGGAGGAACACCAGUGGCGAAGGCGGCUUACUGGACUGUAACUGACGUUGAGGCUCGAAAGCGUGGGGAGCAAACAGGAUUAGAUACCCCAGUA
rnacentral:rRNA from 1 species